rnacentral:rRNA from 1 species
UACGAAGGGUGCAAGCGUUAAUCGGAAUUACUGGGCGUAAAGCGCGCGUAGGUGGUUUGUCAAGUUGGAAGUGAAAGCCCCGGGCUCAACCUGGGAACUGCUUUCAAAACUGGCAAGCUAGAGUAUGGCAGAGGGUGGUGGAAUUUCCUGUGUAGCGGUGAAAUGCGUAGAUAUAGGAAGGAACAUCAGUGGCGAAGGCGACCACCUGGGCCAAUACUGACACUGAGGUGCGAAAGCGUGGGGAGCAAACAGG